GACGAACGCUGGCGGCGUGCUUAACACAUGCAAGUCGAACGGAAAGGCCCUGCUUUUGUGGGGUGCUCGAGUGGCGAACGGGUGAGUAACACGUGAGUAACCUGUCCUUGACUUUGGGAUAACUUCAGGAAACUGGGGCUAAUACCGGAUAGGAGCUCCUGCUGCAUGGUGGGGGUUGGAAAGUUUCGGCGGUUGGGGAUGGACUCGCGGCUUAUCAGCUUGUUGGUUGGGUAGUGGCUUACCAAGGCUUUGACGGGUAGCCGGCCUGAGAGGGUGACCGGCCACGUUGGGACUGGAAUGCGGCCCAGCCUACAACGGGAGGGAGGGGUGGGGAAGAGUGCACAGUGGGCGGAGGCCUGAUGUAACAACGCCGCGUCGGGGAUGACGGCCAUGGGUUUGUAAUCCGCUUUCGCCUGUGACGAGGCGUGAGUGACGGUAAUGGGUGAAGAAGCACCGGCUAACUACGUG
rnacentral:rRNA from 1 species